AGUUCGAUCAUGGCUCAGGAUGAACGCUGGCGGCAUGCCUAAUACAUGCAAGUCGAACGGAGUGAAGCCUUCGGGUUUCAUUCAGUGGCGAACGGGUGAGUAAUACGCAGGGAACCUGGCCAUGGCAGGGGGAUACACUCUGGAAACGGAGCAUAAGACCCCAUAGGCAGUAAGGCGGCAUCGCCUUACUGUUAAAGAAAGCUGAAAGGCUUUGGCGAUGGAUGGACCUGCGGUGCAUUAGCUUGUUGGUGAGGCAACGGCUUACCAAGGCGAUGAUGCAUAGCCGGCCUGAGAGGGCGGACGGCCACACUGGGACUGAGACACGGCCCAGACUCCUGCGGGAGGCAGCAGUAGGGAAUUUUCGUCAAUGGGCGCAAGCCUGAACGAGCAAUGCCGCGUGAGUGAGGAAGGUCUUCGGACUGUAAAGCUCUGUUGCCGGGGAAAAAGGGGAAAUGCAGGAAAUGGCAUUUCAUGGAUGGUACCCGGCCAGAAAGCCACGGCUAACUACGUGCCAGCAGCCGCGGUAAUACGUAGGUGGCGAGCGUUAUCCGGAAUGAUUGGGCGUAAAGGGUGCGCAGGCGGUCUGUUAAGUCUGAAGGCAAAGGGAAGAGCUCAACUCUUCUUUGAUUCAGAAACUGGCAGACUUGAGGACAGGAGAGGGCGGUGGAACUCCAUGUGUAGCGGUAAAAUGCGCAGAGAUAUGGAAGAACACCAGUGGCGAAGGCGGCCGCCUGGCCUGUGACUGACGCUGAGGCACGAAAGCGUGGGGAGCAAAUAGGAUUAGAUACCCUAGUAGUCCACGCCGUAAACGAUGAGGAGCAGGUGUUGGGAGUGAAAUCUCAGUGCCGAAGCCAACGCAGUGACUCCUCCGCCUGGGGAGUAUGCACGCAAGUGUGAAACUCAAAGGAAUUGACGGGGGCCCGCACAAGCGGUGGAGUAUGUGGUUUAAUUCGAAGCAACGCGAAGAACCUUACCAGGUUUUGACAUCGGAUGCGAAGGCGCAGAGAUGCGCUGGAGGCUAUCAUCCAGACAGGUGGUGCAUGGUUGUCGUCAGCUCGUGUCGUGAGAUGUUCAGUUAAGUCUGGCAACGAGCGCAACCCCCGUGGUAUGUUACUAACGCAUUUGGGCGAGGACUCAUAUCAGACUGCCGGUGACAAACCGGAGGAAGGCGGGGAUGACGUCAAAUCAUCAUGCCCCUUAUGACCUGGGCUACACACGUACUACAAUGGCGUCUACAGAGGGAAGCGACCCUGAGAAGGGAAGCGAAACCGGAAAAGGGCGUCCCAGUUCGGAUUGAAGUCUGCAACCCGACUUCAUGAAGAUGGAAUCGCUAGUAAUCGCGGAUCAGCAUGCCGCGGUGAAUACGUUCCCGGGCCUUGUACACACCGCCCGUCAAACCAUGGAAGCCGGCAACGCCCGAAGCCGGUGGCAUAACCUUUUAGGAGUGAGCCGUCGAAGGCGGGGCCGAUGACUGGGGUUAAGUCGUAACAAGGUAACC
rnacentral:rRNA from 1 species